AGCUCCAAUAGCGUAUAUUAAAGUUGCUGCAGUUAAAAAGCUCGUAGUUGGAUUUGUGGCGCGGCCGUCCGGCGGGGGUCUUUCAUUAGUCCCGUUUGUCCUGGUACUCGGCCGCUCCUUUCUCGGGUAGCGCGCGUCUGGCAUUAGGUUGUCGGACGCUUCGCGCCCGUCUUUUACUGUGAAAAAAUUAGAGUGUUCAAAGCAGGCUUAGGCCGUUGGAUACAUUAGCAUGGAAUAAUGAGAUAGGGCCACGGUGGUCUAUUUUGUUGGUUUGCGCGCUGUGGUAAUGAUUAACAGGAACGGUUGGGGGUAUUCGUAUUCCGUUGUCAGAGGUGAAAUUCUUGGAUUUGCGGAAGACGAACUACUGCGAAAGCAUUUACCAAGGAUGUUUUCA
rnacentral:rRNA from 1 species